UAAUACGUAGGUGGCGAGCGUUAUCCGGAUUUACUGGGCGUAAAGAGGGCGUAGGCGGUUUUUCAAGUCGGAUGUAAAAUCUCCCAGCUUAACUGGGAGGGAUCAUUCGAUACUGUUAGGCUAGAGGGCAGCAGGGGGAGGUGGAAUUCCCGGUGUAGUGGUGAAAUGCGUAGAUAUCGGGAGGAACACCAGUAGCGAAGGCGGCCUCCUGGGCUGUUUCUGACGCUGAGGCCCGAAGGCGUGGGGAGCAAACAGGAUUAGAUACCCUGAUAGUCCACGCUGUAAACGAUGGACACUAGGUGUAGGGAGUAUCGACCCUCUCUGUGCCGAAGCUAACGCGUUAAGUGUCCCGCCUGGGGUUUACGGUCGCAAGGCUA
rnacentral:rRNA from 1 species